AUUGAACGCUGGCGGCAGGCCUAACACAUGCAAGUCGAACGGUAGCACAGAGAGCUUGCUCUCGGGUGACGAGUGGCGGACGGGUGAGUAAUGUCUGGGAAACUGCCUGAUGGAGGGGGAUAACUACUGGAAACGGUAGCUAAUACCGCAUAACGUCGCAAGACCAAAGAGGGGGACCUUCGGGCCUCUUGCCAUCAGAUGUGCCCAGAUGGGAUAGCUAGUAGGUGGGGUAAUGGCUCACCUAGGCGACGGUCCCUAGCUGGUCUGAGAGGAUGGACAGCCCCACUGGAACUGAGACACGGUCCAGACUCCUACGGGAGGCAGCAGUGGUGAAUAUUGCACAAUGGGCGCAAGCCUAAUGCAGCCAUGCCGCGUGUAUGAAGAAGGCCUUCGGGUUGUAAAGUACUUUCAGCGGGGAGGAAGGCGAUAAGGUUAAUAACCUUGUCGAUUGACGUUACCCGCAGAAGAAGCACCGGCUAACUCCGUGCCAGCAGCCGCCGUAA
rnacentral:rRNA from 1 species